rnacentral:rRNA from 1 species
GAGUCUCCUGAAGGAACGUUGAAGACGACGACGUUGAUAGGCCGGGUGUGUAAGCGCAGCGAUGCGUUGAGCUAACCGAUACUAAUGAACCGUGAGGCUUAACCUUACAACGCCGAAG